CUUUGACAUAUAGCAUCUUGUUUACUUCGUGCCCUAAUCAAAUUGAAUAUUCUUCAGAAACUGAGUAAAUCGCCGAAGAAAUUUACUCGUGGUCACUCAAUGCUCUUCUACUAAUUAAUUACAACCAAUCACUCGUGCCAAUUCGGACCUUUCGUCCUCGAUAUGAUUGAGUGAUCGGAGGGACUUAAAAAUUCACUCACCACUUAAGAAGUUCUGCGUUGGCUCCAAAGCACUCGUCCACGGUUUAAGUCGAAAUUAUUAAUUACAUUUUCGCGAUUAGAAAUAGAGAGUAUCGAUGUUCACUGGUCAGGGUGCAAAGGGAAACUAACUCGCGAACCGUCAAAGUUAAUAGAAGGACUGUUUAUGUUUAUAUUGCAGAAGGCCAACAAUCCCGAGAUAAAGUUUUAAAGUAUAGGAAUUUUAAAUUAGAAUUAUUUGAACUAUCUCGCGUGUUUUAGCAUUUUUAAUAUUUAAACGAAUCCACUGUUGCUUAAAUAUUAUUUAUUGUAUACCGCGUAUGUUAAAGUCUGUUUAAUUAAUUGAAUA